GAAGGUAUAGCUUUGUGGUAGAGCAAAUGCCUAGCAUGCAUGAGGUCCUGAGUUCAAUCCCCAGUACCUCCA
rnacentral:tRNA from 1 species